CGCUAGCUACAGGCUUAACACAUGCAAGUCGAGGGGCAGCAUAGCGGAAGCUUGCUUCUGCUGAUGGCGACCGGCGCACGGGUGAGUAACGCGUAUCCAACCUUCCCUACAGUAGGGGAUAGCCCGGCGAAAGUCGGAUUAAUACCCUAUGUUCUUCUCGAUGACAUCUGAGGAGAAGCAAAGGUUCACCGCUAUAGGAUGGGGAUGCGUCUGAUUAGCUUGUUGGCGGGUAACGGCCCACCAAGGCUACGAUCAGUAGGGGUUCUGAGAGGAAGGUCCCCCACAUUGGUACUGAGACACGGACCAAACUCCUACGGGAGGCAGCAGUGAGGAAUAUUGGUCAAUGGGCGAGAGCCUGAACCAGCCAAGUAGCGUGCAGGAAUGACUGCCCUAUGGGUUGUAGACUGCUUUUAUGCGGGAAUAAAGUCGGGCACGUGUGCCUGUUUGUAUGUACCGCAUGAAUAAGGACCGGCUAAUUCCGUGCCAGCCGCGGC
rnacentral:rRNA from 1 species